rnacentral:lncRNA from 1 species
GUGGGCACCAAAGCCCUUCUCCCUUUGCUUCACAUAUGCCACCUUUUCCCUCUAUCACCCAUUCCUUUCCUUUGCUUCAUGAAUGUAAAGGCAACUCUAAUUGGUCCUUCUCUCUGCCUUCCCAACUUGUUAUCUCAGCUGGUGCCUGCUCUGAACCUUCCAUUGAAAGAAGCCUAAAAUGAAAAGUGGGACCCCAGGCCCCAUCCCUCAAAGCAGCCACUGUUACCCAUUUCCUGUGCCUUUUCAGAAAUAGACUACGACCAUGGACACAUAUGUGUAGAUUGUAGCCUACCCUGACCAGAGGCCGCCGUCGCCUCUGCAAAUAACUUAAGAGGACUUGGAAACCUUCCUUAUGCAUCAACCACCCAGGCAGGUUUCUGUGGGGAGCACACUAGGCCUCGGAGGAGGUGGAAAAUCAGCCUUGGGGACUUCUGUCUGCCUGGGGAGAAGUGACUUCCUUUCCUCCCAAAAAGCUUCCUGUCAUGUAGGUGGAUAGGAAAGGGAUCCUGGAGAGUCACUUGUGGAGCUUGCUAGAAGGGGAGACAGCGGGCCUUCAGCCUGAUGCUCGCUGAGCCGCGGAAUCGAGGGUCCAUAUGAGGGCAAGCCAUGGAAGAAGGGCAUUGAGACAGCCAAGAGGAAGCUUGUGUGACCAUAGAGGCUGGGUACCCGCUGGCUGCCUGUGCUAGAGGGCAGAAGGGAUCUGUGGGGUGUAGGACGCUAUGGCUGGGAAGCCAGAGACAGCCCUGCCAUCCCAGUUCUGGGGCCUCAGCACUACCAAGAGGGCCUACUGGAGCUUUUCCAGAGUGCUCCAGGAGUGCCAAAAGUGGGCCUUGGGAGCUGGCAUUCCCCAGGCUGGACCAAAAGGGGACAAGGCCCCUUCCUGUGGCAGGUCCCCAGUGACAGAGGGCCUGGGGUGGAGCUGAACACUGCUCCCAUGAAAGCCACACCCACCACCUCAGAGACCACCAGGAUCCCACAGAACCUUCUUCGCUAAAGCAGAUACCAGGGAGCUCCUGCCUCCGACAGGCCACCAGCAAGUGGAAGAACUCAGCCAUCUGGCUACCUUCCUUGCCCCCAACAUCAGGAGAGACCUCAGAGCUCAGCCCAGGCCACCCCUCGGCAGCUGCUAGGGAGGGGAGGCUUUUGAACAUUAACAAGGUUGGAAUUUACAGAGAACUGGACACACUCCAACUGGGCUUGUAUUACAGAGUGGGAGGAUCAGCCCUUACCUGUGAAAUGGACCUGGGUUGGAAACACUGUGGGUUUGACUCACAGAAUGAGGGUCUCUAAAUUCACAGAUGGGUCCUGGGUGAUACCAUCUGUGAAACCUGAUGCACCUGAAUCACCUAGAGACAAACUCAAUGACUCAGUUACUUUCCAGAGCUUGGAAUAGAGCAGCUUCACUCAUGGAGGGACAGGAGGGUGCCUUCCCUGGAGCAGGCUGAGGGCAGGCACAACCACCAGCCCUUUGCAUUUUUGUCAAAGUAGUUGAAUCCAAUUGCUGCUGCUAAUUGCAUGAAUUGAUAGCUUGGACUUAGUUCUGAGAUCCUUUCUGCACAUGUGGGCAUCCCCCAUGCUCGAUCAUUUUGAAGCCACAAAUACCCAGUAGCAGAGGCAGACAAUUCCUAGUAAUCUUUCAGAAAACUCGAUUUCCAGCCAUGUAUGACAAAAUGACUAUUUAAUGAAGGCAAAUGUCAUGCUUAAAUAUUUUUAGUUUUUCUUGUCGGUGAGUGAAUCGUUUUGAAUGACAGAUUAAAUUUCAAGGGGUGCAAGAAUCUCAACAGAACACCAUUCCUUUUCUAAUUUUUUGUUCCAUUGACUCUCGGAAACCCUCUCAGUGAUUCAGGAAGCUGUCUAGGGCUUUCUGACAGCACAUCAUACGCUCAGCAGAUCAAUGAAACCCCUAUCAGUAGAGCUGCGACUGAACCCAUUGCGAGUUCCGGUCCUCUUAAAGGAAAAGCUCUUCCCACUGAACUGGCUCCCAUCUGCACCUGCUUUAGAUUCUGUAACUUCCUCACCCCAUUUGCUGCUUCUCCUUUAGAGGUGCUCAUGGCAGAGGUCAUUCUUUUUACUUCAGUGGCUUCAGUCGGCAAAGGCUUUUGCUAGGAGCUGCCUUCAUGGGUGACAGAUGAGGGGACAUGAGGAUUGUGACAGGGCUCAGACACCUCUGCUCCCUUCCCUCCAAAGCCAGGAGAGAGCUCUGAAGGGAGGGGGGAAGGAGGGGUGAGGCACCCCCUCUGGGGCCUCUCCAAGGAAGGAAUGGAUCCUGCUAUCAGUUCCUCCCAGGUUCCAGCCUAUCGCUUGGCUCUAGAGGAAACUCCAGAAUCAAUGAAGAAGAGGUUCAAUGGAUGACUAAGAAUAUGAACUGCGAAGUUCUGAAGACAAAUGAUAAGAGGUCAAAUAGUGUGAUGGGAAAAACUCAACCCACAGAGUAGAUGGUUGCUAUGCCCACCCCUCACCCUGGGCCCAAUUCCAGUCCUUUCAGAAUUGGCUUAUGCUAGAAAGCAGUUGUCCUUGAGCAAGAAAGAACUCUGGGGCCAUCAAAAAGAGGUUGCUUGGUGAGAGGAGUUUGCGCACACCAAUGGUAGGCACCCAGGGUGAGUGGAGAAGACAGGAUGUUCCAGAACAUUCUCCCAUGCCUGUACUAAUUCCAUGGUAGGUGGGUGGGGCAGCACAAAAGCCUGGAACAUUUUCCUUUUGAUGUGAGCUGGAGGCAAGCUGAUAGAAACACGGAAACCCAGGCCAGCCUAGAGACCUAUAAGUCAAAGUUGACUUCUCCCCUGACCCAACCCCAACUAGCAUUGCCCAACUCCCCAAACACUGCUGAACGGCUGUUUAUGUGGAGAUUAAGAAAAGCUCUCUGUUGACUUUGUUUCCAAACCCUGCCUUUUGGAAUUGACACAAGAAGAGAGCACACUGCUCUCCAGGCCUGACCAUCCGGUCAGCAGACUCCAAUCCCCUGCCCCUGCUUUCUGGCUUUUCCUCCUCAAACAGAAGCUAUUGAAUCAGAUAUCAACAACAUAGAUAAAAAGGAGAGCAACAUGGGCUUUGAACCCAAGGCUAACAGGCUUAUCACAAACUCUUGUCAACCUCUCUCUGUCACUUCCAACCCCAGGGGUGAAAGAUCAAACUUUCACUCCUUCUCCUGAGGACUGCUCUGUACAGGGGUCCUGGUCCCUGUGGGUCGGGGCACAUGGGGCUGGAUCUGCACCUUCAGAGAACGCAGCCGGGACCACAGAGGAAGCAAGGCCCCAGGUUCACUGUGGCUGCAGGUGGAGGGAGGCUGUCACUUGGGAUGGGUGCUCGAAGCAGUACAAAGG